rnacentral:rRNA from 1 species
ACAGGUUAAUAUUCCUGUACUUGGUGUUACUGCGAAGGGGGGACGGAGAAGGCUAUGUUAGCCGGGCGACGGUUGUCCCGGUUUAAGCAUGUAGGCGGAGGUUCCAGGUAAAUCCGGUACCUUUUAACGCUGAGGUGUGAUGACGAGGCACUACGGUGCUGAAGUAACAAAUGCCCUGCUUCCAGGAAAAGCCUCUAAGCAUCAGGUAACAUUAAAUCGUACCCCAAACCGACACAGGUGGUCAGGUAGAGAAUACC